UACGGAGGGUGCAAGCGUUGCUCGGAAUUAUUGGGCGUAAAGGGUAGGUAGGUGGUCUCAUUUGUCAGGGGUGAAAGCCUUGGGCUUAACUCAAGAAGUGCCCCUGAAACGGUGGGACUGGAGUCCUGGAGAGGGUCGUGGAAUUCCCGGUGUAGCGGUGAAAUGCGUAGAGAUCGGGAGGAACACCAGAGGCGAAGGCGGCGGCCUGGACAGGGACUGACGCUCAACUACGAAAGCGUGGGUAG
rnacentral:rRNA from 1 species